GUCACUCUGAUUUUGUGUUUUUUAAGCAGUAAAAUUAUAUUUUGUUCAUCCCAGUAUUGUAUCCCAGUUAACGUCCACUGCUGUGGUUGCUAGUCACGCUGGGGUCCACUGUGUUGGUUUAAUCAGGGACACAGAGAUGUGCAGACAAACUGUCUUUAUUUAUGUGCAAAAAUCCUCAAAGAAAUUCAGAGUCAUGGAGUUUCAUCACCUUAGCCACUUAUACAACACAUCCAUUUGGUAUACAGUUAAAACAAGGCAACUAUACCAGGAGUCAUAGGCAUGUAUGCAAUAAGUGGACCUAUGAUGGUUUUUGUUUCCUACAUCCAGUAUACAUACAGGACAGUAAUAACAUUACAACUCAAAACAAGUCCCUCGUAGAUUUACAUCAAGAGUGUCUGUACAAUAAAUAAGUAUAAAAUAUAUCUCUUAGCAACCUGUGGAUCUUUAAAAACACAUACACGCAUACAAAACGCUAAAUUACUGCUACAACCUCCGAAAAAAGACCAGCUAUUUCGGUAAAGGGAGAAGAAUCGUUUUUUCUGGUCACAUUGGAAUCAUUUUGAAGAGGGGGGAGCGACACAUUUAAAAACAACCUGAUUAAACAUUCAGUGGACUGCUCAAUUUCAUCUUUUAUAUCUUUAUGGGCUUCUUGCUGGUUCAUUCCAACUGACAGGCAGAUGGAUCGCAAACACUGACGAAAACAAAAGAACCCAAACCAUCAGCAGAAGACUACAUCACAAUAUCAAGUGAGCGAGUGCUCGGAAUGCAACAAAGCAAGUUAACCACCAGCUGGGAUGCAAACCAGGAAUGUUUUUGUUUCUUCUCUUCUGUUGUUUAAACGGAGCAGAACAUUAGACUCACUUAACUGUUGCACAUCACAGGAUGAUUAAUUAUGCACAUGCAUCACACAUGUGCUUGAAAAGACAACUGAAACUUAGUAUUUGCUCCAGAAACUGCCUAGUAACCGUGGCUGACAUGAAGGUCUGCUGGAGAAUUGUCCAGCAGUUCAUAAUGUACACAUAUCAACCAGGCUACAAAGUACCGGACUGUAUCCAAGUACCUCCUGUCCUGUUAAUAGAAGGACAGUUGUGUUGUUUGUAAUCUGGCUUUAGUUGCCAUGUGCAUAUAUUAAGAAAUGAUCUAACUGAAAAGCAUCAGCUUAAUCUGAAUGGCACCUCACCUGAUAACACAAAAUAGAUGCAAUUCAUUCAGAUUUAUGUAUAGCUCAAUUACAGACUUCCAUAUCGGCCCAUAUACAGGGAGUGCGUAAUUAUUAGGCAAGUUGUAUUUUUGAGGAAUAAUUUUAUUAUUGAACAACAACCAUGUUCUCAAUGAACCCAAAAAACUCAUUAAUAUCAAAGCUGAAUGUUUUUGGAAGUAGUUUUUAGUUUGUUUUUAGUUUUAGCUAUUUUAGGGGGAUAUCUGUGUGUGCAGGUGACUAUUACUGUGCAUAAUUAUUAGGCAACUUAACAAAAAACAAAUAUAUACCCAUUUCAAUGAUUUAUUUUUACCAGUGAAACCAAUAUAACAUCUCCACAUUCACAAAUAUACAUUUCUGACAUUCAAAAACAAAUCAGCGACCAAUAUAGCCACCUUUCUUUGCAAGGACACUCAAAAGCCUGCCAUCCAUGGAUUCUGUCAGUGUUUUGAUCUGUUCACCAUCAACAUUGCGUGCAGCAGCAACCACAGCCUCCCAGACACUGUUCAGAGAGGUGUACUGUUUUCCCUCCUUGUAAAUCUCACAUUUGAUGAUGGACCACAGGUUCUCAAUGGGGUUCAGAUCAGGUGAACAAGGAGGCCAUGUCAUUAGUUUUUCUUCUUUUAUACCCUUUCUUGCAGCCACGCUGUGGAGUACUUGGACGCGUGUGAUGGAGCAUUGUCCUGCAUGAAAAUCAUGUUUUUCUUGAA
ensembl:lncRNA